GAUGAACGCUGACAGAAUGCUUAACACAUGCAAGUCUACCAAGAAUCACUUCGGUGAGGAAUGGUGGCGGCCGGGUGAGUAACGCGUAAAUAAUCUGCCCUUUAGACUGGGAUAUCCUUUGGAAACGAAGGUUAAUACCGGAUAUUAUGAGAUGGACGCAUGUUCAACUUAUGAAAGCUAAAUGCACUAGAGGAGGAGUUUGCGUCACAGUAGCUAUUUGGUGAGGUAAAGGCUCGCCAAGGCCACGAUGGGUAGCCGGCCUGAGAGGGUGAACGGCCACAAGGGAACUGAGACACGAUCCUUACUCCUACGGGAGGCAGCAGUGGGGAAUAUUGGACAAUGGACCAAAAGUCUGAUCCAGCAAUUCUGUGUGCACGAUGAAGGUCUUCGGAUUGUAAAGUGCUUUCAGUAGGGAAGAAAAAAAUGACGGUACCUACAGAAGAAGCGACGGCUAAAUAUGUGCCAGCCGCCGCUGUAAUAC
rnacentral:rRNA from 1 species